rnacentral:misc_RNA from 1 species
AUUAAAUGGUGCAAAAACAAUACCAAAGUAAACAAAAAAUCUGAAGGAAUAUCGUUUCACACGUUUCCAACGAAUAUUUUAAUAAGAGGUGAAUGGGUAGCGGCUGUAAGACUGAGAAAAUGACCACGACUAUGCUGGCCAUGCGCAUAAAGUCAAUUUAAUACGAUUAGUGAUUGAAAAAUAUUUGAACAUAAGACUACAUCAUAUUA